AUCUUGUGUGACCGGCGAUGACGCUAUUCUGAACAAAAGCAUAGACGAAAACGUAGUUCCGUCCUUUCAUGGCUAGACGCCGAUUUCCGUUCUCAGUUGUGUUUCAUAACAAUUUACAUUGUUUUGAUUGUCUAAUUCAAAGCCGAACAUGUUUGCGUGCAUUGGUCGUGUUGUAGCCCUCCGUAUUUCGCAUGUUAAAUGCAUGAGCGGAAACCAAGAUUUUAAGAGCGCGUCGUCGGUUUAUGACUUUACAGCUAAAUCGAUCAAAGGAGAUGAAGUACCUUUGUCUAACUAUAAAGGCCAUGUUCUUUUGAUCGUCAACGUAGCUUCUAAAUGUGGACUCACGGCAACAAAUUACAGAGAACUCAACGAACUUUAUGAUAAAUAUGCUGAAUCCAAAGGACUUCGUAUACUGGCAUUCCCCUGUAACCAGUUUGGAAAACAAGAACCUGGUGGGAGCGAUGAAAUUUGCAGCUUCGCCGAACGUCGUAAGGUGAAGUUUGAUAUGUUUGAAAAGAUCGAUGUCAAUGGUGACAACGCACACCCAUUAUGGAAGUACUUGAAAGAAGAGCAGGGUGGGCUCAUGGGCAGUUUCAUCAAAUGGAAUUUCACAAAGUUCAUCGUCGACAAAGAGGGAAAAGUUGUUGAACGACAUGGCCCCAAGGUUGAACCUAGCAAACUUGCGGUGCAUCUUGAAAAAUACUUCUAAAACCCGUUUAAACUUGCACGGUCGGCGAAUGUAACUAGGUGACGAUCUAUCUGCCUCCGUGCGUUUAAAAACUUUCGAUGUGCCUGAUGGUGGUGGUGGUGGUGGUGAUGGUGCCGCUGCAGACAUGAGACAACAAACGAUCAUUUGCGAGUUUCUACAUUUAUCAAGGUCGAAUAUAAGUCGAAAGAAAGGAGAAUUUUUAAAUUCCUUCGAUGCCUUCGUUCCAAAAAUAUCUAUCCCCAAAAAACCGGUAUAAAUGUGCCCGUCGUAUCUUACGCCGAUUCUGGAAUCGGAAAAAUUCUUUUCUUUCUUCGCUGGAGAAACGAAAGAAAAAUAAAAAACAACCAGAGAUGCGAUUAUUGUCCUGGGUAGAAUUUCAGGGCCACGUGAGUAAGUACUUCGCGUGAUCAACAACGACGACCUCUGCGGAGGCGGAAUCUCCGAGUUCGGUUAGCUAAAAAAAAAAAGAGAACCAGACGCGGAUGACGUUACGGAUUAUUCGAAGCACCCUUAGAAAAUCAGAGGAGUGAACGAAAAAUCAACGCGUCGAACAAGUUAUUCAAAAUGGCGUAUUAUCCGUUCCAACGUAUUACGGAGCGUGAACUGGCGAGCAUCCGUUACGUUCCUACUCGCUGUCCACUAACGUAUAAAUCCUAUUUAUGGAGCACGAAUACCAUAACGCGGAGGAUGAGCGUGGAUAAUCUGGACGAGAAAACUGGAAUUUCUAGUACGUUGAACAAAGAGUGUAAAACCAGAGGCUCUGUAUCGACGCUGGAAAUGUUCGACGGGGCGAAAAACGAUG
rnacentral:misc_RNA from 1 species